GCCGCCGUUCCUGCGACCCGGUCGACGGAGUGGAAAGGGGGGGUAAGCGUUAUAGUGCCCUGGUCGUUCGAACGCUUAGGGCCCAAAAGCGUUAGGUUCACCCAAAUAGACGCUAAAUAAUGGUUUGGCUUGGCUCCGUAUAUUAUUUUUAAAUAGGUGGCGCUAAAGCGAUGAACGCUACGAGAGCCCUGAAUCGGUGCUUCCGUUCUGCCCGUGCGGUAUGGUGCGGUCUUCGCCUGUGUCCGUGGCUGUAGGGAAGUGAUUGUAGCUGUUUGAUGUCGUUAAAUGUGAGAGCUUGUGGCGAAGUGAUUGAGUAUGGCCGUAGUGGUUCUGCCCAUGUAGUGUUUUGCGGACUUCACCUGUGCCUGUGACUGAUCGUGUUGCCCAAUAGCUUUGUGGAAAGCGACGUGGCUUGUGUGGAUGUCAUCGCAGCUUUUGCCAGCUCCUGGGUGGCCCCUGUGCCAGUUAUUGAUGGCGUUGCCCAGUAGCUUUGUGGAAGUUGAUGUACCUUGUGUGGAUUUCGUUGCCGCUUAUGACUGCCUUAAUUAUAGGUGGUCACGUUGCCUUUUGAAGCGCGUCCGAGCGCGAGAAACUUCACCGAUUUUUUUGUAAACAACGUGGACGUCUCGAAAUGUUAGCUAGAAAUCAACUAGCAGCAAGCCAAGUCUGUAUUUUGUGGUUUCUCGAGCUUAUGCUCAUGCGAGCAGCAGAAGAACAAAAGGUCCGUUACAUAAUGUCAGUUUCAUAAAAUCAGCUUUGCCGCAAUACAGUCAUGAUAUGCGGUGAAGCAUACGUAAUGUAUUGCGGUAAAGUAUAUAAGAAGGUAGUCAGGGACCACUGCGUUACUGGGGCGAUUUUCUUGUAUUAUGGUCAUGGCCGUGCACGAACAAGGAAAAAUCACGGUCGAUGCGCAUGGCACAAACCUUGCCAAAGCUUCAAUUGAAAAAAAAAAAAAGAAAACGAAUUGGAGUGGGUGAUGCCAAAAACAAAGCCUUGACUUUUGUAUUAUCAAAGCAGUUCCGAGAAUAGUCAAUCAUAUUCCAAGCUCCUGCAUUAUUUGAUUGCUUAAAGUAUAUGCAUAUAUUGUGCACCAGCCUUAGCACCAAUUCUAAUGUACUUUAAUGAUGUAAGUUUAAUAACACGUGGCAAAUAUAUAAUUUGUGCUGUAUGGUGUUGUGCUGUUUAUAAGCUGCUGCUUUCAUGUGGUAAUGUGUACAUUGGCUGGAAGAGUUGAUGCAUCCUCCUUAUAGAACUCAGUGAAAGGUGAACCACCUGUCAAGCCAUCAUUGUUCUUGCGGUUGUACACCAGAUUUCACAAACAUGGGGAUAGUUGUGAUAUAGAAAGAGUAGCUGAGGUUUAACAUAUCCACAUGCAUGCACAGGAGUGCGGGAGUCGACCAUCUAUCUCUCUAACUCAGGUUGAAUGUGCAUACUUGAGUAACGUGCAACGCUUGUUUGGUGUCAGGUUUCUUUUAUUGUUAGCCUAGUUUGUGUGUUUCUCCCAUUUGUAGGUUUUAGUGUGUGUUGCUGUGUAUGUAUAUAAUUGCUUCCAGAGUGGCUUUCUUGUUGCUAAUAAAUUUAGAGAAGGCAGCGUUCUUCAUUUUGUGCAUCCGACAGCAAGUGAGCAUGUUUCAAAGGAUGUUGGGUUUUGUUGCCAUAAGCAGCAAAAAGGCAUAAGCAUAUAGACUGCUUGCUGGAGGUACUCUUUAUAGCAUUAAGGAUAUUAUCAUGCUGAUAACUCUGUGCACAAUAAUUAGAAAGAUCACAUCAUGUCUGAUAUGUCUUCUUGCCACCAUGAAAUCUUGUCAGAUGCAUAACACGGGACAUACACCACAGAUCUUGGCCAACCAUUCUCAUUUGUGGUCUCGAGCUCCUACCAUUGAGCAGACUGGUCCAAGAGACAAAACGUGCAACUUUUAUCUGAUUAAAUGUAGUGCAUGUUGCACAAAAUUAGAUGUCAGGUGUUAUUGUUGACACAGAUACAUAUCUGUGAGCCUCAUAAACUAAUGUCAAAAGAAAGAGAGUAAUACCCAUGAAAUGCACUCUUGGUAGGAUGGCAGGACCAUUCUCUUGCAGAGCUAAAUAACAACCAUGCAGCAGUAUCAUGAUAUCAAGCUCAACAAUAAUUCACUCCAAGAAUAGGUUUCUUCAUGCAACAUUGAACUGAUAGUCUUGAAAUACAAUACCCAUUGCUAACAGAAGGCCUUCCAAAUUAUGCAUGACAGGAGGGCAUAAUUUAGGAAGCAAGAAUGAAAACGGAGCCGGUUAACUAUGAAAGUUGUGAAUGCAACUCUGGAGAAGUUAGAAAAAUGAACCAAAUGGAAUAGUUUAAAAGUAAGUGGUUUAGAGACAAAAGGCCAUUUUAUUCCAUGCCAGAAAAGCAAGCAGAGGUUGAAAUGCUUUCCACAUACAUACCUUCAAGGUGCAUGUACAGGGUCUGUCCUGAGAGUAAUGUCAGUAAGGCAAUUAAAAAUCAUUUAUUGAAUUUGUUGUUACAAAAAGUUUAAAAAUCUUCAAAUACUCUCCUUUUGCGUCAAUACAUCGGCUCCAGUGAGACUUCCAGCUCUCAAAUGCGUUGUGGUAGUACUCCUCCAGAAUGGCCUUUAAUGCUGUGGUGCUAGCUGCUUUGAUCAUGUCCACUGUCCCAAAAUGAUUGCCUUUCAGGGGUGUUUUGAGUCAUGGAAACAUAAAUAAGUCGGGGGGGGGGGGAGCCAAGCCUGGGCUGUACGGGGGCUGGGGGAUCGUUGGCACCCCUGCUUUAACCAGGUGGUCAGUGACGAUGAAGGCGCUGUGGGCCAGCACAUUAUCGUGGUGCAACUUCCAGUUGUGUGAAAUGUCCAGCCGGAUAUGUUGAACCCUGCGUUUCAGUCUUUCGAGGACAUCCACAUAAAAUUUGGAGUUCACAGUGGUUCCAGGUUCUUCAAACUCAUGAUGAACCAGUCCGUGGAUGUAAAAAAAAAAAAAAAAACGAUGAGCAUGAUCUCGAUCUUUGAUUUGCUCAUCCUGGCUUUCUUCUGGGGAGGGGACGAGUGUGUGUGCCACUCAGAUGAUUGCCUUUUGGUCUCCAGGUCAUAUUCAAAUACCCAAGUCUCGUCUUCUGUAAUGACGUUGUCCAAAAAUUUUCGCUCACGUUUGCACAUGUUGAGAUUUACUUGGCACGUUUCCACGCGGCGUGAGUUUUCGUUGUCAGUGAGCACUUUUGGAACCAUUUUUGUGCAUGCCUUCCGCAUGCCGAUAUCGUUUGUAACACUUUCAUGAACUUGAGUUUUCGGAACGUUUAACAUGUCGGCCAGUAAACGAACACUUAAUCAUUGGUCUGAGUUCAACAGUUCCCUCGCUCGUGUCACAUUGUCAGUCAUAGCGGUCGUGGAUGGCCAUCCAGCGCAGUCCUUCUCGUCGCCCUCUUCCCGGCCUUCCAAAAGGCCUUGUGCCACCGAAACACUUGCCAAUCUGACAGGGCAUGUUCUUUAUAAGCAAUCUUGAGCAUAGUAACAGUUUCCGCAGCGGUAUUGCCAAGUUUCACACAAAACUUGAUCGCAAAUCUUUGUUCUAAUGAGCGCUGCAUUUUCACUUGCACAAGAAUAAAAAACAGCUCUCACGGACAGGCCCGUCCAACACUCUCCAAUGUUCGGAGCACACUGAGUGACGAACCGCUGCUUAGCUGGAUUCCGUCACUACUAGUUUCAACGAGUUAGACCGCUCUGACAUACAGUCACAUCACAAUAAAUUUAUUGACAUUACUUUCAGGACAGACCCUUUUUAGAUAUAAAUGUUGGGAACCUGGAUGGAGGUGAGGGACAUGUACAGUAAAAACAAGAUGUAUAAGGUAAAAAAUUACUUCUUUUAGUCAGAAAUUGGUCAGUGGUGUCUGGCUUCUCUUGAUCCCUGGCCCUGGAUGGUGAAUACAAAGUAUAUAUAUAUAUAUAUAUAUAAUUGUGUGCAAUCAAGCAUAGAAUCAUUGCCUUCUACCUGUGCUAACGUAUGGGGCAGAAACUUGCAGGUUUCUUGGAGACAAGAAAGGACAUUGUGUUGUCAUGUUGGAAAGCACUUUUCCGGAGGAGGGUGUGUCAGCCACUGACAUAAAUUUUAAUGAAAUUUAUACCAAUAUAGCUGACAUAAAAUGUUGAGCUGUCACGAAGUUGAAUCAGUUUGGUUUGACAACAGUCUCAAAUGAUGUUAAGGUGGAAAAAGGUCUUCUUUUAUGCGCCUUCUUCAGUGCAAAACACACAAGCUUAGGGAAUCCAUUUCAGAACCAUUGUGUCGGAAUAUAAAUCAUGGCUUCAUGUUUCAGAAUUUCUGCAGACACACCUUGACAGGCUGGGAAUCAACGACCAAUUCCUUGCUGCCAGCUCUCAGACUGUUGUACACUUCCUGCAGGAGCAUAAUCUGGGAAAAUGGGCAGGCUUUAGUAUAGAUGCAGAAGUUCUAUACAAUUCUUUGCCGCAGGUGCGUCUCUUGUAGUUUGGUAAGGACUGCAUACACAAUCAAACAGGUUUGCUGGAAUUUGCUGAAAGGUGUAAAAUUCUUGUUGCAAACUUUCUGGAGCUUCUUGAUUUCUAUUUAAGGUCAAUUUUGGUCUAGUGGGAAGGUAAAAUAUGUGUCCAGAAUGCUGGCAUCUGCAUAGGUUCUGGUGUUGCACCAGUGCUCAGUAAUAUUUUAAGUUAUGUUGACCAGAAAAUAAUCAAAACCUGAGUGGGCUUGCUCUUAAAAUUUUCAGAUACGUGGAUGAUUAUUUGUUUUUCAUGAGCAAAUGAUAACUUUCGCAGAGCUGUCAUCGAAGUACUGAAGCUAUUUAGAGAACAAUAGCAAGGUUUCAACUUCACUUAGGAGUUCCAGAAAAAAUAUGUGCUGCAACUUCUUAUGUCAGGCUUACUUUUAUGUGGGAUCACGUAUGCUGGGGAUAUCAGUCGAGAACUUCUAAGCCCCUUCUUGAUUAUAGGUCUAGCCAUUCAAAACUUAUUAAGUACAGUAUUGCCACUCACACAAUUAGAGAUGCCCCAACCAAGAGCUAUCCUCACCUUAUCCUUGAAAGUGUAAGGAAUCUGGUGACAAGGCUUAAUGAGGCAGGUUAUUCAGUUUCAGUGGCUUUUUUAUAUUGAAACACGUUAAUUAAGGAACUUAAGGUGCAACCAGGGUGGAAGAAGCUUAAGGAGCAAGAGCGGAACAAAGUUGCCAUUAUCCCCUCUAUUAAUUGUCGCACAGGUGGCUUCUAAGUUCCAGGAGAGGAUUGGGUUUUCAUUUAAAUAUAAGCUGAAGGGAAUAUGUGAAGCAAUAAACAAGCACAUUCUUCACAACAGGUGUCUGAGCAGGGAGGACUGCAAAGUGAAAUAUAGCAUAUAAUUUGUCUCUUGCACACAAAAUGUUGUUUAUUUGAUUCCUUUUUCUUGAAGCCUACAAAAUAUAUAUCAGUCAGACUGGAAGGUGCUUAAACAUUCGACUAAGGAAGUACCAUAGUUUCUUUAAGGGUUUUUGCGCAUCCACACCUUUCUGUGCAUUGUUGCAGCAUUGGGCGUCAUCCAGUUUUUGAAAGUACUAUUCUGCUGUUCACACACGUGUGAAAAGCUCUCACAUGAAUUAGUGGAGGCUUAUCACAUUAGAAAGAAAAGCUCACUAAGUGUUAGCCAGCCAUCCAUCUCGCUGCAAGAUAGCGAGGUUGCCGUGUUAGAUCCUAAGUAAAGCCACUGAGUUGCAUUGUGCCUUAGUAAUUGUUUUUUUACAUUGAUUAAUCAGCCGUGACAUGUGUGUUGCCGUCAAAACCUGUGCAUUCGGUGAUGUGAAGGUUGUUUUGGUAUGUAUCUGCAUAUGCUAGGGGGCCGGGUGUUGGUCACGUGAUGUGUGUUAUAUAUUGGUUGUUUUCUUUCAAUAAACUUCAUUUGAUAGUGCUG